CUGAAGUCUGGUGCUUGCACUAGACGGAUGAGUUGCGAACGGGUGAGUAACGCGUAGGUAACCUGCCUCAUAGCGGGGGAUAACUAUUGGAAACGAUAGCUAAUACCGCAUAACAGUACUUACCGCAUGGUAGAUGCUUGAAAGGAGCAACUGCUUCACUAUGAGAUGGACCUGCGUUGUAUUAGCUAGUUGGUGAGGUAACGGCUCACCAAGGCUUCGAUACAUAGCCGACCUGAGAAGGUGAUCGGCCACACUGGGACUGAGACACGGCCCAGACUCCUACGGGAGGCAGCAGUAGGGAAUCUUCGGCAAUGGGGGCAACCCUGACCGAGCAACGCCGCGUGAGUGAAGAAGGUUUUCGGAUCGUAAAGCUCUGUUGUAAGAGAAGAACUGUGAGAAGAGUGGAAAGUUUCUCACUUGACGGUAUCUUACCAGAAAGGGACGGCUAACUACGUGCCAGCAGCCGCGGUAAUACGUAGGUCCCGAGCGUUGUCCGGAUUUAUUGGGCGUAAAGCGAGCGCAGGCGGUUUGAUAAGUCUGAAGUAAAAGGCUGUGGCUUAACCAUAGUACGCUUUGGAAACUGUCAAACUUGAGUGCAGAAGGGGAGAGUGGAAUUCCAUGUGUAGCGGUGAAAUGCGUAGAUAUAUGGAGGAACACCGGUGGCGAAAGCGGCUCUCUGGUCUGUAACUGACGCUGAGGCUCGAAGGCGUGGGGAGCGAACAGGAUUAGAUAC
rnacentral:rRNA from 1 species